ACUCAUACCUUGCAGAAGAAAUACCAUGUCAUAAAAGUGGUUUUCCUUGGGGGGGAGGCUCAUCCAUUGUACUUUGGGUGUGUUGCUGAUCCCUAUGAUUUGCCCAAAUGUGGGAAUCUCAACUCAUAAUUUUGUUAAUUGGGGAUUGUCUUUGUCAUAUCCCUG
rnacentral:snRNA from 1 species